rnacentral:rRNA from 1 species
GACGAACGCUGGCGGCGUGCUUAACACAUGCAAGUCGAACGGAAAGGCCCGGCGCUUGUGGGGUGCACGAGUGGCGAAAGGGUGAGUAACACGCGAGCAACAUGCCCUUGUCUUUGGGAUAACUUUAGGAAACAGGGGCGAAAAUAGGAUAGGAGCUCCUGCAGCACGGUGGGGGAUGGAAAGAGUCGGCGGUUGGGGAUGGACUAGAGGCUUAUCAGCUUGAUGGUGGGGUAGGGGAGGACAAAGGUUUUGACGGGUAGCCGGCCUGAGAGGGUGACCGGCCCCAUUGCGACUGCGAUACGGCCCAGAAUCCUACGGGCGGCAACAGUCGAGAGUAUUGCACACUAAGCCGAAGCCUGUUACAGCGACGCCGCGUGCGUGAUGCCGUCCUUCGGGUUGUGAACCGCUUUCGCCUGUGCCGUGGCGUGCGUGACGGUACUUGGUCAGGAAGCCCCGGCUAACUACGUG